GAUGAACGCUGGCGGCGUGCCUAAUACAUGCAAGUCGAGCGAACGGACGAGAAGCUUGCUGCUCUGAUGUUAGCGGCGGACGGGAGAGUAACACGUGUAUAACCUACCUAUAAGACUGGGAUAACUUCGGGAAACCGGAGCUAAUACCGGAUAAUAUUUUGAACCGCAUGGUUCAAAAGUAAAAGACGGUCUUUCUGUCUCUUAUAGAUGGAUCCGCGCUGCAUUAGCUAGUUGGUAAGGUAACGGCUUACCAAGGCAACGAUGCAUAGCCGACCUGAGAGGGUGAUCGGCCACACUGGAACUGAGACACGGUCCAGACUCCUACGGGAGGCAGCAGUAGGGAAUCUUCCGCAAUGGGCGAAAGCCUGACGGAGCAACGCCGCGUGAGUGAUGAAGGUCUUCGGAUCGUAAAACUCUGUUAUUAGGGAAGAACAUAUGUGUAAGUAACUGUGCACAUCUUGACGGUACCUAAUCAGAAAGCCACGGCUAACUACGUG
rnacentral:rRNA from 1 species